rnacentral:rRNA from 1 species
GUGGGGAAUUUUGGACAAUGGGCGCAAGCCUGAUCCAGCAAUGCCGCGUGCAGGAAGAAGGCCUUCGGGUUGUAAACUGCUUUUGUACGGAACGAAACGGUCCUGGCUAAUAUCCGGGGCUAAUGACGGUACCGUAAGAAUAAGCACCGGCUAACUACGUGCCAGCAGCCGCGGUAAUACGUAGGGUGCGAGCGUUAAUCGGAAUUACUGGGCGUAAAGCGUGGGCAGGCGGUGCUGUAAGACAGGCGUGAAAUCCCCGGGCUCAACCUGGGAAUGGCGCUUGUGAUGGCAGUGGUGGAGUGCGGCGGAGGGGGAUGGAAUUCCGCGGGUAGCAGUGAAAUGCGUGGAUAUGCGGAGGAACACCGAUGGCGAAGGCAAUCCCCUGGGCCUGCACUGACGCUCAUGCACGAAAGCGUGGGGAGCAAACAGGAUUAGAAACCCCGGUAGUCC